rnacentral:rRNA from 1 species
GAUGAACGCUGGCGGCGUGCUUAACACAUGCAAGUCGAACGGUGAAGCAGAGCUUGCUCUGUGGAUCAGUGGCGAACGGGUGAGUAACACGUGAGCAACCUGCCCCUGACUCUGGGAUAAGCGCUGGAAACGGCGUCUAAUACUGGAUAUGAGCUGCGACCGCAUGGUCAGCAGUUGGAAAGAUUUUUCGGUCUGGGAUGGGCUCACGGCUUAUCGGCUUGUUGGUGAGGUAAUGGCUCACCAAGGCGUCGACGGGUAGCCGGCCUGAGAGGGUGACCGGGCACACUGGGACUGAGAGACGGCCCAGACUCCUACGGGAGGCAGCAGUGGGGAAUAUUGCACAAUGGGCGAAAGCCUGAUGCAGCAACGCCGCGUGAGGGAUGACGGCCUUCGGGUUGUAAACCUCUUUUAGCAGGGAAGAAGCGAAAGUGACGGUACCUGCAGAAAAAGCGCCGGCUAACUACGUG